GAGGGGGGAGGCAGGGCGCGAGAGAGCACUUUGCACUCAUGUGAUCUGCUUGGGAAGCUGAUUAAAAGCAGGUCACUCCCGGGGCAGUCUCGCCCACCGGGACUGGAGGAAGGCAGAGGAAUAGGAGAGGGGCUAGGACUCGGAGAGGUGCCGGAUUUGAGGUCCUCGGUUCGUGCUAAGGAAAGGUAGCCGCCGGGUAGCAUCCCUCCUCUGCAGUUUCAUAUGUUGUGGGCACUGUGGCCCAGGUGAGCAAAGAGUAGAGCUUUGCUGGGAAAGAGACGCUCUGCAAAACCCUCGUCUGAUGGUGAUAGUUCCCCCAGUUCUGUUAAUUGGAGAUGCAGUGUCAGCACCAUAAUGUACUGGGUCAGGAGGGCUAGCGUCUGCGAGCCCCUGUGCCAGCUUCCAGAGUCAGGUGAUUACACAAGAUGCUCAUCUUUCAUUUUAAAGAAAGUAAGCUUCUAGCCCUCCUGAUUGCGGGGAAAAGUUUGAAAUGUGACCCCUAGGAGGCUCAAAAACCUGAAGGCUCGGGGACUGAUGCAUACCCCCAGAAUGCCUUGCACAGAAGGAAUGUUGCCAUGGUAAUGGCAAGCCCACAAGGAAGCAAUGAACCACGAUGGACCAAUUGCCAGGUGCACAUAUAGCAUUCUAUGAACUGGAAUGUAAAUGCACAGGAAGAGGACAAGAAAACUGUAGGACAAGGUGCACAGGUUAAAGGCCAAUGCAUCCCUGACAUCGAGGGCGUGAAGUCUCUUCUCUUCAGACAAAGCAUGGGGUUUCAGAAAAAAGACAGGAUUUUCUGAAAGGCUGAAGCAGGAGAGGACACUGGAUUCCAAUGUAGGACCAUCUUACCACCUCAUGGCCUGAGUGGGCAUUGACCUACACUGCCUCUUAUUCCAUUUCUUGGGAGCAUAAGGAAAUCUACUGCACAUCUGCGAGCCAAUGGACAUUGCUUGUUAAAAAUCUCUGGACUUGGGCACUUGGAACACGUGUUCCCAUGUGUGGAAUGGCCCAGCACUCAAAGAAUGACUGGUGAUACCAUUUCCAAGCUUACACUUCCCAUUAUUUCAACAUGUGCUGCCUUGUGUGCUAGGAUACUGAUGAGGACACAAUAAUAAAAUUCACCCAGUUUUAAAACAGGCGGUCCAAGCAAGCAAACAUAUGGUAUUGGUGAUAGCGAAUAAAGGGCAAAAUCAAAUGAAAAUGCUAUUAACAUGCAAUGACAAAAAGUAAAAAACAAACGUGAGCACAAUUUUAUUUGUUCUGAGCAAAAUAGGUUUGUCACUGGUGUAGUACAAAACAUGAAUUAUACAAUUGUUUUAUCAUACCAAAAAAACCUUCAGGUCUUAAAGAGUCUGAAAUAAUUACUUGAUCUAAAACAUUUAAAUCAAAUUGUUAUUUUCUUGAUUCUUCCUAAGAUGGACAUUUGUAAAUGAGUAACAAAAAUGUUUUAUUACUUAUUCUUUUGGGGAUAAGUGGAUUUACUGCAAAUGAAAGCUACCAGAUAGACAGAACUGGAGACUGAAGUCCUUUAUCCAUAUAAUUGGCAAGCACACAGUCUGCAACAGUGCUAGAUUCCUUAGAUUGCCUUCUAAAUAGGCCUCAACUCUCUUUACUGGGAGCCAAGGAUAGUUCAUAUUCCAUGCCUCUUCAAACCUUUGACCUCUUUGCGGAGACUGCCAAUGGUGCUGUGUUUAGACAGGGACACCCAUCUACUAUAAAAUGCAUAGCCAACAAU